UACGUNCCAGCAGCCGCGGUAAUACGUAGGUCCCGAGCGUUNUCCGGAUUUAUUGGGCGUAAAGGGAGCGCAGGCGNUCAGGAAAGUCUGGAGUAAAAGGCUAUGGCUCAACCAUAGUGUGCUCUGGAAACUGUNUGACUUGAGUGCAGAAGGGGAGAGUGGAAUUCCAUGUGUAGCGGUGAAAUGCGUAGAUAUAUGGAGGAACACCAGUGGCGAAAGCGGCUCUCUGGUCUGUCACUGACGCUGAGGCUCGAAAGCGUGGGUAGCGAACAGGAUUAGAUACCCUGGUAGUCCACGCCGUAAACGAUGAGUGCUAGGUGUUAGGCCCUUUCCGGGGCUUAGUGCCGGAGCUAACGCAAUAAGCACUCCGCCUGGGGAGUACGACCGCAAGGUUGAAACUCAAAGGAAUUGACGGGGGCCCGCACAAGCGGUGGAGCAUGUGGUUUAAUUCGAAACAACGCGAAGAACCUUACCAGGUCUUGACAUCCCGAUGCUAUUCUUAGAGAUAGGAAGUUACUUCGGUACAUCGGAGACAGGUGGUGCAUGGUUGUCGUCAGCUCGUGUCGUGAGAUGUUGGGUUAAGUCCCGCAACGAGCGCAACCCUUAUUGUUAGUUGCCAUCAUUAAGUUGGGCACUCUAGCGAGACUGCCGGUAAUAAACCGGAGGAAGGUGGGGAUGACGUCAAAUCAUCAUGCCCCUUAUGACCUGGGCUACACACGUGCUACAAUGGUCGGUACAACGAGUUGCGAGCCGGUGACGGCAAGCUAAUCUCUGAAAGCCGAUCUCAGUUCGGAUUGGAGGCUGCAACUCGCCUCCAUGAAGUCGGAAUCGCUAGUAAUCGCGGAUCAGCACGCCGCGGUGAAUACGUUCCCGGGCCUUGUACACACCGCCCGUCACACCACGAGAGUUUGUAACACCCGAAGUCGGUGAGGUAACCUUUUAGGG
rnacentral:rRNA from 1 species